rnacentral:rRNA from 1 species
GAAUCUACCUAGUAGUAUGGGAUAGCCACUGGAAAUGGUGGGUAAUACCGUAUAAUCCCCGCGGGGGAAAGAUUUAUCGCUAUUAGAUGAGCCUAUGUCGGAUUAGCUAGUUGGUGGGGUAAUGGCCUACCAAGGCAGUGAUCUGUAGCUGGUCUGAGAGGAUGAUCAGCCACACUGGAACUGAGACACGGUCCAGACUCCUACGGGAGGCAGCAGUGGGGAAUAUUGGACAAUGGGCGCAAGCCUGAUCCAGCUAUGCCGCGUGAGUGAGGAAGGCCUUAGGGUUGUAAAACUCUUUCAGUAGGGAAGAUAAUGACGGUACCUA